rnacentral:rRNA from 1 species
UACGUAGGGGGCAAGCGUUGUCCGGAAUCAUUGGGCGUAAAGAGCGUGUAGGCGGUUCGGUAAGUCGGCUGUGAAAGUCCAGGGCUCAACCCUGGGAUGCCGGUCGAUACUGCCGGACUAGAGUUCGGUAGGGGAGACUGGAAUUCCUGGUGUAGCGGUGAAAUGCGCAGAUAUCAGGAGGAACACCGGUGGCGAAGGCGGGUCUCUGGGCCGAUACUGACGCUGAGGAGCGAAAGCGUGGGGAGCGAACAGG